CCUACGGGGUGCUGCAGUGAGGAAUAUUGGUCAAUGGGCGCGAGCCUGAACCAGCCAAGUCGCGUGAGGGAAGACGGUCCUAUGGAUUGUAAACCUCUUUUGUCGGGGAGCAACAGACGCCACGCGUGGCGUUCCGCGCGUACCCGAAGAACAAGCAUCGGCUAACUCCGUGCCAGCAGCCGCGGUAAUACGGAGGAUGCGAGCGUUAUCCGGCUUUAUUGGGUUUAAAGGGUGCGCAGGCGGAAGAUCAAGUCAGCGGUAAAAGUGAGGGGCUGAACCUCUUCGAGCCGUUGAAACUGGUGGUCUUGAGUGAGCGAGAAGUAGGCGGAAUGCGUGGUGUAGCGGUGAAAUGCAUAGAUAUCACGCAGAACUCCGAUUGCGAAGGCAGCAUACCGGCGCGCAACUGACGCUCAUGCACGAAAGUGUGGGUAUCGAACAGGAUUAGAUACCCUAGUAGUC
rnacentral:rRNA from 1 species